GUUUUCAAGUAUAAGGUUUUGAAGAUUGAGAAAGCGAAUUGUAUGAUAGGAGGAUAUGAACAGUAUUUCAUGACGGUUAAAGUCUUAAAUCUCACCAUUGGUACUUCUAUUGAAACCUUUUACAUCAAUGUUGCUAGAAGAAUCCCUGACCGUUUUGAAGAAGUCCUUUCAUGCAAUCCAAAAGGAAUGGUGCCGGAGUUUAGCAUAUUUGGCAAGAAGAAACGUUGAAUGGAAAGAGGAGUGUCGUGAGAGGAUAGGAAUGGGCACCUGAGCUUUAGUUUGAACUCUGUUCAAGAUUUCAGCAUCUUACUUUUGAUAUAUGAACUGAACUGUAUUAGUGUUAUGACACCAUGUGGAUGGUUAUUCUUCUUCCAAGUUUACUACUGUUUGAGAACAUUUCAGUUUAUGUAGUUGCAAGUGAUGUGGAUGGUACUAUAUUGUUGAAUUGAAUGCUAUAAUAGUUAGUUGAUUACGCUUUGAUAGUGUGUGAAACAUUCUCUAUUGUGUGUGAAAUGGUCUCUUGAUGUAAGGAAGAAGGCAAUGAUGGUGGAAUUUACUUUCCAUUCACAACUCUAUAUGUAAUGGGAUUGCUUUCUUCCAAGUUUUCUACUGUUUGAGAACAUUUCAGUUUUUGUAGAUGAAAGUGAUGUGGAUGGUAUGUGUAUUGUCGAAUCGAAUGCUAUAAUAGUUGGUUGAUUA